ACUGUGCUCAAAAUGCUUUGGCCUUAACGCAAAACUGUCGUUAGUAAAUGACCCCCCAAUGAAUUAAGGGAGGCCGGGUGGUCAACGGCAUACUAAAAGCAAUCGGCCUACCAGGAGUCUUCCCGGUGGGUUACACUGCCAAUUUGCCCCCUGUAUACAAUGAGUUUAUUGCUCUCAUUUUUCCUUUUGGCAAUAUGUGUAAAGGGCUAUAGUUCAUAUACAGAUGUCAGAUAAAGGUGGUUUGUGUCUACAAAAAAAAUACUAAAUUAAAUUUUUUGGUUCAUAACACACACAAAAAACUAUGAAUAAACACAACUAAUGUAAUUCAAGUUAUUUAAUGUGCUCAGAAAACAAGCAGAGGCAGAUUUAAGUAACACACUGAUCAUAGUUACUGCCAGGACGAUAAAAGGGAUGGGCCGCUAAUGACAAGCCUAAUUGUGUAUAGCUCUGGGCUGGAUGCACAUGCCUAGAACUGCCUUCACA